rnacentral:rRNA from 1 species
UACGAAGGGUGCAAGCGUUACUCGGAAUUACUGGGCGUAAAGCGUGCGUAGGUGGUGAGUUAAGUCUGUCGUGAAAGCCCCCGGGCUCAACCUGAGAAUGGCGAUGGAUACUGGCUCGCUAGAGUGCGGUAGAGGAGAGUGGAAUUCCCGGUGUAGCAGUGAAAUGCGUAGAGAUCGGGAGGAACAUCAGUUGCGAAGGCGGCUCCCUGGACCAGCACUGACACUGAGGCACGAAAGCGUGGGGAGCAAACAGG